rnacentral:rRNA from 1 species
UACGUAGGGUGCAAGCGUUGUCCGGAAUUAUUGGGCGUAAAGGGCUCGUAGGCGGUUUGUCGCGUCUGCUGUGAAAAUCCAGGGCUUAACCCUGGACCUGCAGUGGGUACGGGCAGACUGGAGUGCGGUAGGGGAGAUCGGAAUUCCUGGUGUAGCGGUGAAAUGCGCAGAUAUCAGGAGGAACACCGGUGGCGAAGGCGGAUCUCUGGGCCGUAACUGACGCUGAGGGGCGAAAGCAUGGGGAGCGAACAGG